ACUGCCUCCACACCCGAAGCUGAGCGUUGUUUUCUGCAAAUGCACGUCGCUACGUCGUGCGAAGAACAGAAUAAGUCAGUGUCGCUUGUGUUGUCGUCCUCCUUUGUGCAGAACUACUGGGAUAUGGCAGAUAGUGGGCAGAAGUCCUCCCUCUUGAGGUCCAUGGGGUUUC
rnacentral:ribozyme from 1 species